AGUGGAGAUACUAUUUUUAUUUUACCGUAUCACAUUGGAAUGAUGUAUUUAUGUAAGGGGUGUAUACAUUACUCAUAUCACAAUAGCUUUGUGAUGUUUCUACUAUCCUGA